rnacentral:rRNA from 1 species
AUACGUAGGGAGCGAGCGUUGUCCGGAAUUACUGGGUGUAAAGGGUGCGUAGGCGGGGAUGCAAGUCAGAUGUGAAAUGUAUGGGCUCAACCCAUGAACUGCAUUUGAAACUGCAACUCUUGAGUGAGGUAGAGGUAAGCGGAAUUCCUAGUGUAGCGGUGAAAUGCGUAGAUAUUAGGAGGAACAUCGGUGGCGAAGGCGGCUUACUGGGCCUUUACUGACGCUGAGGCACGAAAGCGUGGGGAGCAAACAGGAUUAGAUACCCUGGCAGUCCACGCUGUAAACGAUGAUGACUAGGUGUGGGGGGACUGAACCCUUCCGUGCCGCAGUUAACACAGUAAGCAUUCCGCCUGGGGAGUACGGUCGCAAGAUUAAAACUCAAAUGAAUUGACGGGG